AAAGAGGCUUAUACAACCCCCUCUGUUAAUAGACAGGGGCCAACCUGGUGGUGGUGGGGAGGAUGGAUGUAAAAUCCAGAGGCUUCAACUGCGAACGCAAACAGAGAGAUUGCUGUAAACCGCGAAAGUGCCCCACCCAUCGUCAAGUCACACAGAGCACAACUCCUGGCUGCAGCUGAAGGAGGACGUUAGAUUUCUGGUAGUUCGUCUGACCAUUGCUUGUUUAGCUGGAUUGGGUCAUCUGUUAUGUUCCCAGGCAAGUCAUCCCAGGUUAAGGAUGUCCAGCUACGACUGCAAG